rnacentral:rRNA from 1 species
GACGAACGCUGGCGGCGUGCUUAACACAUGCAAGUCGAACGGAAAGGCCCUGCUUUUGUGGGGUGCUCGAGUGGCGAACGGGUGUGUAACACGUGUGUAACCUGCCCUUGACUUUGGGAUAACUUCAGGAAACUGGGGCUAAUACCGGAUAGGAUCUCCUGCUGCAUGGUGGGGGUUGGUAAGUUUCGGCGGUUGGGGAUGGACUCGCGGGUUAUCAGCUUGUUGGUGGGGUAGUGGCUUACCAAGGCUUUGACGGGUAGCCGACCUGUGAGGGUGACCGGCGACAAUGGGACUGAGAUACGGAGCAGACGGGAACGGGAGGCAGCAGGGGGGAAUAUUGCAGAAUGGGGGGAAGCCUGAUGCAGAAACGCCGCGUGCGGGAUGACGGCCUACGGGUUGUAAACAGAUGUGGACUGAGACGAAGAGUGAGUGACGGUAAUGGGUAAAGAAGCACCGGCUAACUACGUG